GAGUGUUUAUAGCGUUCAGACUCAAACACUUUAUAACACACUGCUGUUUACCACGGUACAAAACCAACAAACACAAUGAAUCUCUUCAGCAGCUUUAUCUGGAUUCUGACAGCUUUUAUUCCAGCAUCCAGAGGAAUCACUGUGACUCAGCCUGAAGUUCUGACGCCACUAUAGAGUGUAAAACUAAUCCUGGAAUAACUAGCUGGGGUUUAGCUUGGUGUAACGAGGAGAAGUAUGAAUUCGAGACUACACUUCCCAUAAGUCCGUGGGGUAGCGUAAGUUUUACGUCUGUACGUGCUAUAAAUAGACGCACAGUAGCAUAGCGUUUCUGAUCUCAUUCAUUCAUUGACGCUACAAACAAGUGUGUGCUAAUAUCAGGUAAUUUGUGCUCAACCCUGUUUUAAUAGUGACUAUUUUGAUGAAUGUAUUGUAGUUACGAGAGCUGUUUCUUUUUAAGUAAAGACAUUGAUGUCAAGUUGUUUUAUGCUGCACAUGUUUAGAAACCCCGCUUGUAUUACUGGUGAUUGGCGUGGUGACAGUCCACAGAAUUGAUGAAUGUGUAAAUGAAUUAUGUUCAGAGGUCUCUUAAAGGAGCCACCCGUUGGUUUUUAAUUCCUCAUUCUUAGAUCCAGUUAUUUUAAAGGACUAGCACGACUAUUGUUACAUAUAUAUAUUUAUUUGUGGUGAAUUGCCCAGUGCUUUUGUUGUAUACAGUGUAUUAAUAUUAUUGUGAUUUUUGUUUUUUUCUUUAGUUGUCUUCCAUCCUGAUUUCACGGCAGCCGCAGGGUCUCCUCCAUGGGUGUGACUGACACUGGUGAGGUGGUGGGUUCUUCUGUGGGUUUUGGUGACGUGUAUUUUCUCUUGAGUGCUGUGAUUGCUGUGCAGUAUUGGAGUUUGAACUUUAAUUAAUGGUUGUACACUUUCACAACUAUAGUCGUGCCCGGUUGGAGCCCUGUGGUUUGUUGUUAACGUUUCCUGUUUCUUUUGUUUUUUUUUUUCAAAUGAGGUCUGUAUUAGUGUUUUAGAUAUUCAUUUUUUUUAUGUUAAGAUUGGUCUGUGUGAAUUGUAAUAAAACUGCUUAUACAAGCGCUUAAGCUUUCACCACAGGUUGUGGCCAGUUAUUAUCCCUCCCUGAUUCGGUGGGUUACAUUGGUAUCAGCAGAAACCUGGAGAAACUCCUAAACUCAUCAUUACUGGAGUAAAUGAUCUCUAUGAUGAGAGUUUGAGUCGAUUCAGUGCGAAUGGAGAAGAAGGUGGGACUGAUUUCACUCUGACCAUCAGUGGAGUCCAGACUGAAGAUGCUGGACAUUAUUACUGUCAGAGUUAUCAUGAAAUCAACAGUGAUGUGUUCACACAGUGAUAAAGAGUCGUACAAAAACCUCCGUCAGUCAGAGUCACAGAGACUGAACUGAUCCUGCAGCUGCUCAAACACUAUCACUCACUCAACUACACAAUAUAAUCUUAUAAUAAACAUCAGUUUUG